rnacentral:rRNA from 1 species
AUGCACGCUGGCGGCGUGCUUAACCCAUGCAAGUCGCACGGUGAAGGCGGAGCUUGCUCUGCUGGAUCAGUGGCGAACGGGUGAGUAACACGUGAGCAAUCUGCCCCUGACUCUGGGAUAAGCGCUGGAAACGGCGUCUAAUACUGGAUACGAGCUGCGAAGGCAUCUUCAGCAGCUGGAAAGAACUUCGGUCAGGGAUGAGCUCGCGGCCUAUCAGCUUGUUGGUGAGGUAACGGCUCACCAAGGCGUCGACGGGUAGCCGGCCUGAGAGGGUGACCGGCCACACUGGGACUGAGACACGGCCCAGACUCCUACGGGAGGCAGCAGUGGGGAAUAUUGCACAAUGGGCGAAAGCCUGAUGCAGCAACGCCGCGUGAGGGACGACGGCCUUCGGGUUGUAAACCUCUUUUAGCAGGGAAGAAGCGAAAGUGACGGUACCUGCAGAAAAAGCGCCGGCUAACUACGUG